rnacentral:lncRNA from 1 species
CCCCAUCCCCCACAGAAGUUUGUUUAUCCACUUUUUAUAGGAAGGUUACAUCUCACCUCCUUUUUUUCUUCCCAUGUCUCUUCUCUCACUCUACAACUCGUUUUCAUUUAUUCUCUCUCUAUUUGCCUUUUCUCAUCUCUCGCUCUACAACUUUUUUUCAUUUAUUCUCUCUCUAAAUGCUUUUUCUAUCCCUAACUCCUCUCUCUUUAUUCUCUCAAAAAAAUACCUUCUCUAUAACUUUUUUUCAUUUAUUCUCUCUAAAUACUUUUUCUAUCUCUAACUCCUCUCUCUCUAUUCUCUCAAAAAAAAAAAAA